UUGAAAGGGAAACGAUUGAAGUCAGUCAUACCAACGGGAAAUCAACCUUUUGAGCUUGGUCUCGUGGGUUUUGAAGAGUUUCAAAGCCUUCGGAUUCGCGGGAUUGGGAUCUCUUGGUGUACUUUUUCGUACGGUUAGUCAACAUCGGUUUUGAAUGUCAUAAAAUGACUGGAGGAAUGUAGCUUCGAUCUCGUAUUGAAGUGUUAUAGCCUUUGGUAGAUGUGAUGUUUGAGACCGAGGAUUGCAACGGAUACCCUUCAGGGCUAUUCGUCUGAUCUCUGAUACGUUGCCUUGAUGUUGAAAGCUUGCUUAUGAUGUUAGGGUAUUACGGUCAAAAGGUUAGAACGAAUUACAUUCGUUAAGGAUGUUGACGUA
rnacentral:rRNA from 4 species